UACUUAUCACGAGAGGUGGAGGGACUGGCCCUAUGAAACCCGGCAACCGCUAGAUCAUUGCAUUCUUAUGAAUGAUGAACUAGAAAGGUGCCAAUUCCUGCAAGACUUUAAGUAGUCUUGGGAGAUGAGGA
rfam:Fictibacillus phosphorivorans strain G25-29, complete genome.